AGAGUUUGAUCCUGGCUCAGGAUGAACGCUUGCGGCGUGCCUAAUACAUGCAAGUAGAACGCUGAAGGAGGAGCUUGCUUCUCUGGAUGAGUUGCGAACGGGUGAGUAACGCGUAGGUAACCUGCCUGGUAGCGGGGGAUAACUAUUGGAAACGAUAGCUAAUACCGCAUAAGAGCAGUUGUUGCAUGACAGCUGUUUAAAAGGUGCAAUUGCACCACUACCAGAUGGACCUGCGUUGUAUUAGCUAGUUGGUGAGGUAACGGCUCACCAAGGCGACGAUACAUAGCCGACCUGAGAGGGUGAUCGGCCACACUGGGACUGAGACACGGCCCAGACUCCUACGGGAGGCAGCAGUAGGGAAUCUUCGGCAAUGGGGGCAACCCUGACCGAGCAACGCCGCGUGAGUGAAGAAGGUUUUCGGAUCGUAAAGCUCUGUUGUAAGAGAAGAACGAGUGUGAGAGUGGAAAGUUCACACUGUGACGGUAUCUUACCAGAAAGGGACGGCUAACUACGUGCCAGCAGCCGCGGUAAUACGUAGGUCCCGAGCGUUGUCCGGAUUUAUUGGGCGUAAAGCGAGCGCAGGCGGUUUGAUAAGUCUGAAGUUAAAGGCUGUGGCUCAACCAUAGUUCGCUUUGGAAACUGUCAAACUUGAGUGCAGAAGGGGAGAGUGGAAUUCCAUGUGUAGCGGUGAAAUGCGUAGAUAUAUGGAGGAACACCGGUGGCGAAAGCGGCUCUCUGGUCUGUAACUGACGCUGAGGCUCGAAAGCGUGGGGAGCGAACAGGAUUAGAUACCCUGGUAGUCCACGCCGUAAAC
rnacentral:rRNA from 1 species